CUCGUCGUAGCUCAGCUGGUAGAGCGUGUACUGUACAAAAGCGUAGGCGGCGUCCAGGCGUGGGUUCGAAUCCCACCGACGCUA
rnacentral:tRNA from 1 species